AUACUUGUAUAUAUAUCGAGGUAGCAGUUAAGUAUGCGACUAGAUUUAGUAUCUCUGAAAAGUUCAAGAAUCGCGUUUCGACUGCAUUUAAUUGGCAACAAAUGGCGGCCAGAAUGCCAAAGCCAAAUGCACAAUUUGGCCAUGCCAUAAGCCUAACCAACGAAGCCUGGCUUGGGGACCAACUGCUCUUUAACUUGUUUAUAUAUAUAUAUAUAUAGAUUUAUAUGCGAAUAUAAUUAGUAAUUACUUUGGCUAAUUGCUUGCAGAAUUGUUAACACUUGGUUGGCUUUCGAUCCAAUUGCAACUACAUCGAACAAUAACAAUAAAACUCCAUGCUACGUUUACGUUUAAUAUGUAAUAUUCUUGCUUCCAAUGUUGAGUUUACUUUGUAAUACUUUAAUUUUAAUUACUUUAUAAUAAUAUACGUAUUGGUCCAAGGUC